rnacentral:rRNA from 1 species
AGAGUUUGAUCCUGGCUCAGAAUGAACGCUGGCGGCGUGCUUAACACAUGCAAGUCGAACGAGGCCUGGGGGGCAACUCCCAGAGUCGAGUGGCGGACGGGUGAGUAACACGUGGGUAACCUGCCCGGAAGUGGGGAAUACCUCGGGGAAACUCGAGCUAAUUCCGCAUGACAUCUACGGGACGAAAGUCCUGACGAUCAAAGCGGGGUCGCAAGAUCUCGCGCUACCGGAUGGGCCCGCGCCCGAUUAGCUAGUUGGUGAGGUAACGGCUCACCAAGGCUUCGAUCGGUAACCGGCCUGAGAGGGCGGUCGGUCACACCGGAACUGAGACACGGUCCGGACUCCUACGGGAGGCAGCAGUGGGGAAUCUUGCGCAAUGGGCGAAAGCCUGACGCAGCAACGCCGCGUGGAGGAUGAAGGCCUUUGGGUUGUAAACUCCUGUCGGCUGGGAAGAAAUCAUACGGCGCUCAUACCGCCGUGUGUUGACUGUACCAGCAAAGGAAGCCCCGGCUAACUCUGUGCCAGCAGCCGCGGUAAUUC